UACCUGGUUGAUCCCUGCCAGUAGCAUAUGCUUGUCUCAAAGAUUAAAGCCAUGCAUGUCUAAGUACACACGGCGGUACAGUGAAACUGCGAAUGGCUCAUUAAAUUCAGUUAUGGUUCCUUUGGUCGCUCCCCCUCCCGUUACUUGGAUAACUGUGGUAAUUCUAGAGCUAAUACAUGCCGACGAGCGCCGACCUCCGGGGACGCGUGCAUUUAUCAGAACCAAAACCAACCCGGGCUCGCCCGGCGGCUUUGGUGACUCUAGAUAACCUCGGAGCCGAUCGCCACGCCCGUGGCGGGCGACGACCAUUCGAAUGUCUGCCCUAUCAAUUUCGAUGUACUGUCUGUGCUACCAUGGUGACCACGGGUAACGGGGAAUCAGGGUUCGAUUCCGGAGAGGAGCUGAGAAACGGCUACACAUCCAAGGAAGGCAGCAGGCGCGCAUUACCCACUCCCGACCCGGGGAGGUAGUGACGAAAAUAACAAUACAGGACUCUUUCGAGCCCUGUAAUUGGAAUGAGUCACUUUAAAUCCUUUAACAGGAUCCAUUGGGGGGUCGGGGAGCGGCGGUAAUUCGCUAGCGUAUAUUAAGUUGCUGCAGUUAAAGCUCGUAGUUGGAUCUUGGAUCGAGCUGGCGGUCCGCGCGAGGCGAGCUACCGCCUGUCCCAGCCCCUGUCUCUCGCGCCCCUCGAUGCUCUAACUGAGUGUCCCGCGGCCGAAGCGUUAACUUUGAAAAAUUAGAGUGUUCAAAGCAGGCUGGCCGCCGGAAUACUCCAGCUAGGAAUAAUGGAAUAGGACUCCGUUCUAUUUUGUUGGUUUUCGGAAACGGGGCCAGAUUAAGAGGGACGGCCGGGGGCAUUCGUAUUGUGCCGCUAGAGGUGAAAUUCUUGGACCGGCGCAAGACGAACUAAAGCGAAAGCAUUUGCCAAGAAUGUUUCAUUAAUCAAGAACGAAAGUCGGAGGUUCGAAGACGAUCAGAUACCGUCGUAGUUCCGACCAUAAACGAUGCCGACUCGCGAUCCGGCGGCGUUAUUCCCAUGACCCGCCGGGCAGCUCCGGGAAAACCCAAGUCUUUGGGUUCCGGGGGGAGUAUGGUUGCAAAGCUGAAACUUAAAGGAAUUGACGGAAGGGCACCACCAGGAGUGGAGCCUGCGGCUUAAUUUGACUCAACACGGGAAACCUCACCCGGCCGGACACGGACAGGAUUGACAGAUUGAGAGCUCUUUCUCGAUUCCGUGGGUGGUGGUGCAUGGCCGUUCUUAGUUGGUGGAGCGAUUUGUUGGUUAAUUCCGAUAACGACGGACUCUGGCAUGCUAACUAGUUACGGACCCCCGAGCGGUCGGCGUCCAACUCUAGAGGGACAAGUGGCGUUCAGCCACCGAGAUGAGCAAUAACAGGUCUGUGAUGCCCUAGAUGUCCGGGGCUGCACGCGCGCUACACUGACUGCUCAGCUUGUGUCUACCCUACGCCGGCAGGCGCGGUAACCGUUGAACCCCAUUCGUGAUGGGGAUCGGGGAUUGCAAUUAUUCCCAUGAACGAGAAUCCAGUAAGUGCGGGUCAAAUCGCGUUGAUAAGUCCCUCCUUGUACCACCGCCGUCGCUACUACGAUGGAUGGUUUAGUGAGGUCUCGGAUCGGCCGGGGGUCGCCACGGCUGCCGGAGCGUCGAGAGACGGUCGAAUGACUAUCUAGAGGAAGUAAAAAGUCAAAGGUUCCGUAUGAACCUGCGGAAGGAUCAUUA
rnacentral:rRNA from 1 species